GAUGAACGCUAGCUACAGGCUUAACACAUGCAAGUCGAGGGGAAACGAUAGAGAAAGCUUGCUUUUUCUAGGCGUCGACCGGCGCACGGGUGAGUAACGCGUAUCCAACCUGCCCAUCACUUGGGGAUAACCUUGCGAAAGUAAGACUAAUACCCAAUGACGUCUCUAGAAGACAUCUGAAAGGGAUUAAAGAUUUAUCGGUGAUGGAUGGGGAUGCGUCUGAUUAGCUUGUUGGCGGGGUAACGGCCCACCAAGGCGACGAUCAGUAGGGGUUCUGAGAGGAAGGUCCCCCACAUUGGAACUGAGACACGGUCCAAACUCCUACGGGAGGCAGCAGUGAGGAAUAUUGGUCAAUGGACGAGAGUCUGAACCAGCCAAGUAGCGUGCAGGAUGACGGCCCUAUGGGUUGUAAACUGCUUUUAUAAGGGAACAAAGUGAGAGUCGUGACUCUUUUUGCCUGUACCUUAUGAAUAAGGACCGGCUAAUUCCGUGCCAGCAGCCGCGGUAA
rnacentral:rRNA from 1 species